AUUAACAGGAUUAGAUACCCUGGUAGUCCACGCCCUAAACGAUGUCAACUAGCUGUUGGGGCCUUCGGGCCUUGGUAGCGCAGCUAACGCGUGAAGUUGACCGCCUGGGGAGUACGGUCGCAAGAUUAAAACUCAAAGGAAUUGACGGGGACCCGCACAAGCGGCGGAUGAUGUGGAUUAAUUCGAUGCAACGCGAAAAACCUUACCUACCCUUGACAUGUCUGGAAUGCCGAAGAGAUUUGGCAGUGCUCGCAAGAGAACCGGAACACAGGUGCUGCAUGGCUGUCGUCAGCUCGUGUCGUGAGAUGUUGGGUUAAGUCCCGCAACGAGCGCAACCCUUGUCAUUAGUUGCUACGAAAGGGCACUCUAAUGAGACUGCCGGUGACAAACCGGAGGAAGGUGGGGAUGACGUCAAGUCCUCAUGGCCCUUAUGGGUAGGGCUUCACACGUCAUACAAUGGUCGGGACAGAGGGUCGCCAACCCGCGAGGGGGAGCCAAUCCCAGAAACCCGAUCGUAGUCCGGAUCGCAGUCUGCAACUCGACUGCGUGAAGUCGGAAUCGCUAGUAAUCGCGGAUCAGCAUGUCGCGGUGAAUACGUUCCCGGGUCUUGUACACACCGCCCGUCACACCAUGGGAGUGGGUUUUACCAGAAGUAGUUAGCCUAACCGCAAGGGGGGCGAUUACCACGGUAGGAUUCAUGACUGGGGUGAAGUCGUAACAAGGUAGCCAAU
rnacentral:rRNA from 1 species